CACAACACUUCAAUGCAGUUAAGAGAUAUUUUAUAUUAGUUCUAAAUGUUAUUGUUUACUUCUAACAUAUAUAAAUGUUAAAAACUAUGUAACUUGUGUAAAGAAAGCUUGAGCUUUAUACAUUAUUAUAAAGUUAUCAAAACAUAUUCUAUUUGUUAUAUGCAAAGCGGAAAAUAUAUUGCUGAACUUAUGAAGUUUAUUUAUGUUAUGAUCUACUUUCUUUCCUUACCACCUUGAAUGUCAUAAUGACGGUGACUGUAUACAUAUUAAGUGUAGGUCUGGUUGGGAUGUGAAGUGUACUGCUGCUAAUCGGUGUAAUUGUAUCCCUACAAUUCUAUAUAAAAAACAAAUUUAAACAAUCAAUGACGACUCUCUUUACAAUUCUAUAAGUGUGUUAUAAAGUUAUCAAAUCAUAUUCUAUUUGUUAUAUGCAAAGGGAAAAAUAUAUUGCUAGACUUAUGAAGUUUAUUUAUGUUAUGAUCUA